CUUUUGCUGGAGGUUUCUGCAGCCCUGAGGCUUUCUGAAGGCUCCGCAGACGUCCUGAAGGUCCCUGAAAGCUGAAUGUGCUGUUUACUAAUCUGCUUGGGCUAGUAGAUUAGUUUGCCCUUUGAGAGAAUACGAAGGAUGAAUAUCUGCAGUAUGGUGUCCUAGCUUUGUUUUUAUUUGCUCUGCGGUAAUACCUACUGUCCCAUCUCGCAUCACAGCUCCAUCUAUUCCCCCAGUAGCCAGACUGCCAUUCAUGAGCUGCAUCUUGGCCAACAGGAGCAGUUGGGCAAACCCUCCCCAGCAUCGUCUUUCCUGGCUUGUAAGAAGAGAGAGUCAUGUAAAUAUGGCAGUGGAAAACAGGUAGACUUUAGUCUUUUAUUUUUUUCAAUAGCAAAGUCAAACAAGCCCCUUUGUUACAUUACAGUGCUUUAAAGACCCCACUGAGUCUCAGAAGAUCCACUACUUUCCAGAGAGAUGGCAAUUACCUGGAGGCAAGCGACAAAGCGCAGGUUGGGCCGGUGCAGCUGGUUUGUCUCACACAGCGCCAGCCGGUCCUGAUGGUGGUCCCAGGCACAGCUCCUUUUGUCAUUUCUUCAUUCCAGCCCAGGAACCUGUCAUCUCCUCUGAAGGCAGGCGUGGUUUGUGCCACCGAGAGCUAGUAGUGCCUUGGAAAUGUUACCGGUUCCUGGCUGUAGGCGUACAGAGCUGUAAAUGGCCUACAGGUUUGUGAGUACUGUGUGUGAAUUUUCGCUUUGAGAAGUGAAAAUGUUUUGUUGCUUGUUCAGCAGGAUCUGUCAGACAAAAUCUUGUGGCACCUGCCAUUGAAAUCAAGGGCAAAGCUGUGCCUGGAUUGAAAGCCUUGGGACUGAGCUGUCAGGUCCCUGUUGUGUAAAAAAAUAAAUAAAUAGAAAUGACAAAGU
ensembl:lncRNA